CCUACGGGUGGCAGCAGUGAGGAAUAUUGGUCAAUGGGCGCGACCCUGAACCAGCCAAGUAGCGUGAAGGAUGACUGCCCUACGGGUUGUAAACUUCUUUUAUAAAGGAAUAAAGUGCGGCACGUGUGCCUUUUUGUCUGUACUUUAUCAAUAAGGAUCGGCUAACUCUGCGCCAGCAGCCGCGGUAAUACGGAGGAUCCGAGCGUUAUCCGGAUUUAUUGGGUGUAAAGGGAGCGUAGAUGGGUUGUUAAGUCAGUUGUGAAAGUUUGCGGCUCAACCGUAAAAUUGCAAUUGAUACUGGCAGCCUUGAGUACAGUUGAGGUAGGCGGAAUUCGUGGUGUAGCGGUGAAAUGCUUAGAUAUCACGAAGAACUCCGAUUGCGAAGGCAGCUUACUAAACUGCCACUGACAUUGAUGCUCGAAAGUGUGGGUAUCAAACAGGAUUAGAUACCCUUGUAGUC
rnacentral:rRNA from 1 species